ACACACGUGCUACAAUGGUCGGUACAAAGGGUUGCCAAGCCGCGAGGUGGAGCUAAUCCCAUAAAACCGAUCGUAGUCCGGAUCGCAGUCUGCAACUCGACUGCGUGAAGUCGGAAUCGCUAGUAAUCGUGAAUCAGAAUGUCACGGUGAAUACGUUCCCGGGCCUUGUACACACCGCCCGUCACACCAUGGGAGUGGGUUGCUCCAGAAGUAGCUAGUCUAACCGCAAGGGGGACGGUUACCACGGAGUGAUUCAUGACUGGGGUGAAGUCGUAACAAGGUAGCCGUAGGGGAACCUGCGGUUGG
rnacentral:rRNA from 1 species